ACGUAGGGUGCAAGCGUUAAUCGGAAUUACUGGGCGUAAAGCGUGCGCAGGCGGUUGUGUAAGACAGAUGUGAAAUCCCCGGGGUCAACCUGGGAACUGCAUUUGUGACUGCACAGCUGGAGUGCGGCAGAGGGGGAUGGAAUUCCGCGUGUAGCAGUGAAAUGCGUAGAUAUGCGGAGGAACACCGAUGGCGAAGGCAGUCCCCUGGACCUGUACUGACGCUCAUGCACGAAAGCGUGGGGAGCAAACAGGA
rnacentral:rRNA from 1 species